GUAUCGCACGAGCGCACCCCUAUCCUUAUUUGCCAGCACGUAAUGGUGGGAACUCUAGGGAGACUGCCGGUGAUAAACCGGAGGAAGGUGGGGACGACGUCAAGUCAUCAUGGCCCUUACGAGUAGGGCUACACACGUGCUACAAUGGCGUAUACAGAGGGUUGCAAAGCCGCGAGGUGGAGCUAAUCUCACAAAGUACGUCGUAGUCCGGAUCGGAGUCUGCAACUCGACUCCGUGAAGUCGGAAUCGCUAGUAAUCGUGGAUCAGAAUGCCGCGGUGAAUACGUUCCCGGGCCUUGUACACACCGCCCGUCACGUCAUGGAAGUGGGUUGCACCCGAAGUGGCUUGUUUAACCUUCGGGAAGACGGUCACCACGGUGUGAUUCAUAACUGGGACGAAGUCGUACCAAGGUAGCCCUAGGGGAAGGUGGGGCUGGAUCACCUCCUU
rnacentral:rRNA from 1 species